rnacentral:rRNA from 1 species
GACGAACGCUGGCGGCGUGCCUAAUACAUGCAAGUAGAACGCUGAAGGAGGAGCUUGCUCUUCUGGAUGAGUUGCGAACGGGUGAGUAACGCGUAGGUAACCUGCCUGGUAGUGGGGGAUAACUAUUGGAAACGAUAGCUAAUACCGCAUAAUAACAGCUGUUGCAUGACAACUGUUUGAAAGGUGCAAUUGCAUCACUACCAGAUGGACCUGCGUUGUAUUAGCUAGUUGGUGGGGUAACGGCUCACCAAGGCGACGAUACAUAGCCGACCUGAGAGGGUGAUCGGCCACACUGGGACUGAGACAGGGCCCAGACGCCUACAGAAGGAAGCAGUAGGGAAACUGCGGCAAUAGACGAGAGUCUGACCGAGCAACGCCGAGUGAGUGAAGAGGGAUUUCGGAUCGUGAAGAUCUGUUGUAAGGGAAGAAAGAGUGUGCGAGUGGAAAGUUCACACUGUAACGGUAACGUACCAGAAAGGGACGGCUAACUACGUG